GAUGAACGCUGGCGGCGUGCCUAAUACAUGCAAGUCGAGCGAACGGACGAGAAGCUUGCUUUUCUGAUGUUAGCGGCGGACGGGUGAGUAACACGUGGAUAACCCACCUAUAAGACUGGGAUAACUUCGGGAAACCGGAGCUAAUACCGGAUAAUAUUUUGAACCGCAUGGUUCAAAAGUGAAAGACGGUCUUGCUGUCACUUAUAGAUGGAUCCGCGCUGCAUUAGCUAGUUGGUAAGGUAACGGCUUACCAAGGCAACGAUGCAUAGCCGACCUGAGAGGGUGAUCGGCCACCCUGGAACUGAGACACGGUCCAGACUCCUACGGGAGGCAGCAGUAGGGAAUCUUCCGCAAUGGGCGAAAGCCUGACGGAGCAACGCCGCGUGAGUGAUGAAGGUCUUCGGAUCGUAAAACUCUGUUAUUAGGGAAGAACAUAUGUGUAAGUAACUGUGCACAUCUUGACGGUACCUAAUCAGAAAGCCACGGCUAACUACGUG
rnacentral:rRNA from 1 species